GACGAACGCUGGCGGCGUGCCUAAUACAUGCAAGUUGAGCGCUGAAGGUUGGUACUUGUACCGACUGGAUGAGCAGCGAACGGGUGAGUAACGCGUGGGGAAUCUGCCUUUGAGCGGGGGACAACAUUUGGAAACGAAUGCUAAUACCGCAUAAAAACUUUAAACACAAGUUUUAAGUUUGAAAGAUACAAUUGCAUCACUCAAAGAUGAUCCCGCGUUGUAUUAGCUAGUUGGUGAGGUAAAGGCUCACCAAGGCGAUGAUACAUAGCCGACCUGAGAGGGUGAUCGGCCACAUUGGGACUGAGACACGGCCCAAACUCCUACGGGAGGCAGCAGUAGGGAAUCUUCGGCAAUGGACGAAAGUCUGACCGAGCAACGCCGCGUGAGUGAAGAAGGUUUUCGGAUCGUAAAACUCUGUUGGUAGAGAAGAACGUUGGUGAGAGUGGAAAGCUCAUCAAGUGACGGUAACUACCCAGAAAGGGACGGCUAACUACGUG
rnacentral:rRNA from 1 species